rnacentral:rRNA from 2 species
UAGGGAAUCUUCCACAAUGGACGAAAGUCUGAUGGAGCAACGCCGCGUGAGUGAUGAAGGUUUUCGGAUCGUAAAACUCUGUUGUUAAAGAAGAACAAGUGUUAGAGUAACUGUUAACACUUUGACGGUAUUUAACCAGAAAGCCACGGCUAACUACGUGCCAGCAGCCGCGGUAAUACGUAGGUGGCAAGCGUUGUCCGGAUUUAUUGGGCGUAAAGCGAGCGCAGGCGGUUUUGUAAGUCUGCUGUGAAAGCCCUCAGCUCAACUGAGGAAGUGCAGUGGAAACUACAAAACUUGAGUACAGAAGAGGAAAGUGGAACUCCAUGUGUAGCGGUGAAAUGCGUAGAUAUAUGGAAGAACACCAGUGGCGAAGGCGGCUUUCUGGUCUGUUACUGACGCUGAGGCUCGAAAGCAUGGGUAGCGAACAGGAUUAGAUACCCUGGUAGUCCAUGCCGUAAACGAUGAAUACUAGGUGUUGGAGGGUUUCCGCCCUUCAGUGCCGCAGCUAACGCAUUAAGUAUUCCGCCUGGGGAGUACGACCGCAAGGUUGAAACUCAAAGGAAUUGACGGGGGCCCGCACAAGUGGUGGAGCAUGUGGUUUAAUUCGAUGCUACGCGAAGAACCUUACCAGCUCUUGACAUCUUCUGCCAACCCAAGAGAUUGGGCGUUCCCUUCGGGGACAGAAUGACAGGUGGUGCAUGGUUGUCGUCAGCUCGUGUCGUGAGAUGUUGGGUUAAGUCCCGCAACGAGCGCAACCCUUAUUAUUAGUUGCCAGCAUUUAGUUGGGCACUCUAGUGAGACUGCCGGUGAUAAACCGGAGGAAGGUGGGGACGACGUCAAAUCAUCAUGCCCCUUAUGAGCUGGGCUACACACGUGCUACAAUGGAUGGUACAACGAGUCGCGAAACCGCGAGGUCAAGCUAAUCUCUUAAAGCCAUUCUCAGUUCGGAUUGCAGGCUGCAACUCGCCUGCAUGAAGUUGGAAUCACUAGUAAUCGUGGAUCAGCAUGCCACGGUGAAUACGUUCCCGGGCCUUGUACACACCGCCCGUCACACCAUGAGAGUUUGUAACACCCAAAGACGAUGGGGUAACCUUUUAGGAGCUAGUCGUC